UGAAUAAGGAAUUGGCCAGAUGGUUGUACUCAAAGAGUUGUGGUCAACAGUUCAGUGUCCAGCUGGAGACCAGUAAUGAGAGGUGUCCCUCAGGGAUUGGUCUUGUUUAACAUCUUUGUCGGUGACAUGGACAGUGGGAUUGAGUGCACCCUCAGCAAGUUUGCCGAUGACACCAAGCUGUGUGGUUUGGUUGGUAAGCUGGAGGGAAGGAAUGCCAUCCAGAGGGACCUCGACACGCUUGUAAGGUGGGCUGAUG